ACAAACAAAUACCGCUAUCCCUUUCCCCUUUCUCAUUUCAAAUCAUUAUUCAAUUCCUCCCUCUCUGUUUGCAGCCGGCGCGAGAUCAACUAUCGCCUGAAUUCUACUGCCGGAGUCCUCAUCCAACAUCACUCCUCAAGUCAAUCAAUUAAUAGGAUUUGUUAAUCGUCGUUCCACGAACACCGCACCUAAAACACAAGGUCGCUGCGAAGCUAACUCUCAGUUAUUUCCCGAGCUACUAUCAAUUGGAUUUUUGCAAAAAAGGCACGCAAAAAGGCCCAAAAGUAGGUUGAUCUUCACUAUUUAUGGGCCUUUCAAGAUUCCCCAAAACACCUUUCUACUAUGAUUAGCAUUGCAUGAGAGACUCUCCAUCAUGGAUCGGCCGUGGCUUCAUCACCUCCAUGGUGAGUGCGUAUUAUGUUCCAGUGGCACCCUUGAGACUCAGCAACACCUAUUCUUUUGUUGCCCAUACACUAGACAGUGUGUUCGACUGUUGCGACGUGAGAUCCGCUUCUCUUAGACCACUAGAGGAUGAACCAUUGACGUAUUGAUUGCUGCACGGAGAUGGAGGGGGAAGCAUGUUAUCAAUGCUGCUUAUCGCAGUCUUUUGGCAUUCCUUGUGUAUCACAUUUGACAAGAAUAGAAUCGACGGAGAUAUCAACAACUGAUCGUGAUGCAUUAUCCCUCGCUCGGAUUAUUCUUGCCGGCACGCGAUCAACCGCCUCCUGAGUUCUACCGCCAGAGUCUUUAUUCGUCAUCACUCCUCAAGUGAGUCAAUUAAUAAGAUUUGUUAAUCGUUGUUGCGCGAAGCCAACUCUCUGUAAUUUCCCUAGCUACCAUCAAUCGGAUUUCUGCAAAAAAGGCUCACAAAAAGGUACCAGACUUUUUGGAGGACGCGAGGUAGCCGAUGACCUGCGACCCGGAUCAGGGGGAGUGCCACUUUCACGGAUUGCAACGCGUUCUUGGGCAUCGCGGACAGCGGCCGCGAGCUGUGACAUUUGAAACCACUGG